CCCAUCGCUUGCAUCCAAACCUGACCGUAUUCUAAUCCAUCAUAUUAUUUUGACCUGCAAACCAAGUCAAUUCUGCAAUAUUUUACGUCGGCAGGACAACUUCCAAUGGCCACGAUCUCUGAUGGACUGCGGGUCAUGACCGGACGAAUCAUCAGAUCUAACCUUGCGGUGUGAAUCCUAUUAGCUUUUUUCAGCCGGGGAAGUGUGGCCAGAAUUCUUGGUGGCACGAAGGCCGAAGUGGAGGUGGUGGGAGCGCAGUGGAGGGAGGGGAUGGGACAAAAGGUCAUGCUUGGAUGCCCUCAUGGUCCCGCUCCUUUCGCUUUGAACCUGGUCUCGGAAGUAAAUGGGAGAGUGGGAGUGGGGGUGGCGGGGCAAUCCAUUUUUAUAUGCGGCUCGGGUAGAGUGCAGCGAGGAACACAAUCUAUUGUUUAUCCGGUGGUGGUGGUGUCAUGGUGGGGCCGUAAUCUAUGAUGAAAGAACAAGAUUGCUACUCCAAUGACUCUACUCGACUCUAUCGCAUUAAAAUAAUGAUUCAGCAAGGGCAGAAGUGGAUGUCAAUUUUUGACUGGUGACUAAAAAAUGUGGACAGUGGCCUUUAAACUUUACUCUCUUUUCUUUGGAUCUUUUAUCAAGUUGCAGAGCUCACAGGAAGUUGUGGCCACCAAAGUCUCCUCCUCCUCCUCCUCCUCCUCUUUACCCAAGUCGUAUUCCCCUGCCUCUCUGUGUUCUUUCGAGUCCUUUGGAAGGUUAGCAUUUGAUAGAGGAGAACUCAGGUAUUACUAAUUUUCUUGUUUGCUGAUGAUGAUUUAUGCGUUCUUGGUUGCUCUUGAUGCUUAACAAAGAGGGUUUCUUCAUGGUGGAUUUCUUUUCUUGUUCGGGGAAGGCAUAAGGUGGUGUUAUUAGGUGAAAUAUUUCUGUGUGUUGAUACUUAAUGUGUAGGUUUCUGUUCUGUGAUGCAUUUUGUUUGAAGGGACAAACUUCUACCAAGUUAGAUUGCAAAAGAUUGGUUUCUCCUCUCUGUUAAGUGUCCUUGAUUUGACCUGUGAUGUGUGAGAACCGAUCCCUUUUCCCACUGCUGGGACUUCAAAAGGAAUCAAAGAAAGUUCACAAAGGAAAGUUGACAGCCAUGUUAUCUUUAGGGGUGCUCAUCAGGAGAGUGAAAGUUACAUCAUAUUUUAAAGGAAACAUGAGAAGAUCCUCCACAUCUGUCCUGUUUCUAUCUUCUUAUAUUGAGUUAGAACCAUCCCAUUUGUUACUUUUGCAUUUUUGAUGAAUGAUUUAUCUCUAUUACUGAUGCUGGUAUCACACUAAGUUCAGGCAAGCCACAUUGUAAAGAAAUGCAGCAAUUGAGUUAUUGCAUUAUUCGAGCUCUUAUUCAUGGUUGGAAGAGUAAGAACUAAUUACUGUUCCCAAAUGAACAUGUUCUGGUCCUAUAAAGUGAGGAUUUAGUUCACCAUUAGCCAAACCUGAGUAAUAAGAUCAUAUAUGUAUAAAAUGAAUUGAUCAAACUAAUUAUGUAAAGUAUACGCAACCAUGCAGUUUGUAUAUUGCUUCUGUAAUGGGUGAAACAGUUGCCCGGACAAAAGGUGAUCAAGAUAAUCAAAGAGCAAUCACCUUGUACUCUGUGCUGGUGUCUCUCAUAAUCAAGUUAAACAUUGUCUUGGUGAAAUAAGGUUUCCAGCUAGGAACUUGUAUGGCUAAGAAUGCUCUUCAAGUUUAUACCCGUCCGUGCGCAUGUAAUAUGGUUUGAGCUACAAGUUGAUGGUGCAAGUUCGUUUAUGCAACUUCUUUGGUCAUGAUUCAAGAGUUCAAUAGGGGAGCAGUUCGUCUGGAUACUGCGAUCUAAGCUUGAUAGAAUUGUGCGAGGAUAUGGGGCUCUUCAAAUGGAUCAUGCAAGGGUGCAUCGUAGAAAGGGUAUAUUUACAAAGAGAACCUGUUUUUCACCGGUUAGCUGUUUGUUCAGUAUUGUAGGAUUCCUGUAGAGAAUAGCUACAUCAUGUUUGGCCGGGUGAUGCCACCACCGACGAAUGCAGGGAGCUCUGCGUGAUGCCGUAAAUAUACCUGACAUUUCAACGUGCAUGCUACUACCACAUAGCUAGGUCCAAUAGAAGAUGAGGUUGUGCAAAGAUACUUCAACCAUAGAGGGAUAGUAUGACCGAUGGAUGAUGAUUCUGGAUGUCAGGAAGAAGACCUUCCUCUACUCUCUCUCAUUUAUUCAAUCAUCUAAUGUCAUGAGAUAUGACGUUCACUACGACAAUGAAGAAGACCUAUGGUGGUAAAUGGAUCUAUUGGCAAAGGACAGUAAGGCUGUUGCCUGCCCCUAUUUCUUUUUCUCAUCUUCAAUAUUUCUUGAAUAUUAUUUCAACUUCAUAUCCGGAUUCCUGCCUUUAGGUUUGCUGACACUGUGAUCGUAUCAUCAUUCUAUCAAGCAUCUCGGUUGAAUAGCGAUUAGACUUGAUUAACACAUGUAAAAGUUUAGCUACUAAUUGACACUUUAUGUUGGUUAUGGUUGUCCAAUAAAAUUUUGCUUGUAUUAUCAAAUUAAAAUUCCAAUUUGGUUGCAAGAAUGGUUGAUGCUUUCAUGAGAACAUUUUCCAAAAGUACUAUUUUCCUACACCUCUUGGAUUAUAUGUUUUACCUACCUGCCUUAUGUUUUGAAGAAGCAAUGGGGGUCCGCAGGCUGGUCCCACUUACAUUGGUUCUAUCCUAUUACAAGGCUGGCAAGUGAAACCGGAGGUCAAGGACUUCAUGCUGCACAUGAACAAUGGUUGACCUAUGCUUUAUGGUAUUGUUAUAAGUCUUGAAGGUCGGACAAUUCAUUGUUUGCAAAGAAUUUUCAAGCACCAAGCAGAAAAUAUUAUUCCGCAAAACCUUCAUAACAUGGAGGUGCCAAGAUGUGCAAGUGAUGCUGUUCGACAAGCACCGAGCUGAAAAUUUCUAGCAAUCUUUGCCUGUUUGAAUCCCUCCAAAGAUUUGAUGCUCAGCUUAUACCACGGAAAUCUUGUUGCAACACACACCAAAGAAUUCCCUGGUUUGACUACGGAGCUUGUUCUUCAUGAACCUCAUUCUCAUUUCUAUCUUAUGGUGCUGGCUAUGCAUCUGCAUAUUUAGAUGGCGAAUGAUGACACUCCAUAUUUGUGGUACCACAAGGCAUUGUUGCUUGCUUGGAUGCUGUCCAAGGAAAGAAGGUCUGUUCAUUGAAAGAAAGACCUUGUUUCUACCAAAUGCUGGUGCUGGUGACACUGGAACUAUUAUCUACAGAAAUUUCUCUUGUUGCAUUGGGAAUUCCCAUUGCUUGAAUAAAUCGAUAGAAUGAUUCAAAUUAACUAUCAAAUGCAUUCUACAUUCCUAGCACAGACAAGAAGUGAGAUUAAGUAUCAACGUUUCCAUUAAUGAUGUUGAUGUUUAGGCUUUUGAUGUGGGGAAUCUCCAAAUCUGUGAAGAUAGAGAAUGGAGGGGACCGUUUUGUUUCCCCCACAACAUUGAAGAUGACUUCCAACUGCAUCCCAAUGUGCGUAAUCUCGAAGCCCAGCGACGACCAUCUCGAGAUUACGGCUCUUGAAGCAUGACGGCGACAGCAUCGACGGGGAAAACUACUAGUAAAGCAUUUAUUGCAGCAUGAAUGAAGAAUCCUUCAGAAAAGCGUAUCAAAAAGCAGGCUUGAAUGAUGUCCAGCAAACAGAAGAUACCGGCGACUUCCUUAUAAAGAGGCCCCAAAAUGGGCAUUAAAGAGCAGAAUAAACUCUUCUGUUAGUGACGAAGUUAAAAGGAAACAAAAGAACCAGUUCAUGGUACAAAGAAAAUUUUGUACA